GAUGAACGCUGGCGGCGUGCCUAAUACUUGCCAGUCGAGCGAACAGACGAUGAGCUUGCUCCUCUGACGUUAGCGGCUGACGGGUGAGUAACACGUGGAUAACCUACCUAUAAGACUGGGAUAACUUCGGGAAACCGGAGCUAAUACCGGAUAAUAUAUUGAACCGCAUGUUUCAAUAGUGAAAGACGGUUUUGCUGUCACUUAUAGAUGGAUCCGCGCCGCAUUAGCUAGUUGGUAAGGUAACGGCUUACCAAGGCAACGAUGCGUAGCCGACCUGAGAGGGUGAUCGGCCACACGGGAACUGAGACGCGGUCCAGACUCCUACGGGAGGCAGCAGUAGGGAAUCUUCCGCAAUGGGCGAAAGCCUGACGGAGCAACGCCGCGUGAGUGAUGAAGGUCUUCGGAUCGUAAAACUCUGUUAUUAGGGAAGAACAAAUGUGUAAGUAACUAUGCACGUCUUGACGGUACCUAAUCAGAAAGCCACGGCUAACUACGUG
rnacentral:rRNA from 1 species